CCUACGGGAGGCAGCAGUAGGGAAUCUUCCACAAUGGACGAAAGUCUGAUGGAGCAACGCCGCGUGAGUGAUGAAGGUUUUCGGAUCGUAAAACUCUGUUGUAAGGGAAGAACAAGUACGAGAGGGAAUGCUCGUACCUUGACGGUACCUUGCGAGAAAGCCACGGCUAACUACGUGCCAGCAGCCGCGGUAAUACGUAGGUGGCAAGCGUUGUCCGGAAUUAUUGGGCGUAAAGCGCGCGCAGGCGGCCUUUUAAGUCUGAUGUGAAAGCCCCCGGCUCAACCGGGGAGGGUCAUUGGAAACUGGAAGGCUUGAGUACAGAAGAGAAGAGUGGAAUUCCAUGUGUAGCGGUGAAAUGCGUAGAGAUGUGGAGGAACACCAGUGGCGAAGGCGACUCUUUGGUCUGUAACUGACGCUGAGGCGCGAAAGCGUGGGGAGCAAACAGGAUUAGAUACCCUGGUAGUCCACGCCGUAAACGAUGAGUGCUAGGUGUUGGGGGUUUCCGCCCGUCAGUGCUGAAGCUAACGCAUUAAGCACUCCGCCUGGGGAGUCGGCCGCAAGGCUGAAACUUAAGGAAUUGACGG
rnacentral:rRNA from 1 species